UACCGAUGAAUGCUAGUGAGCCUCGGAUCGAUGCUCAUCGACUGUAAAAGGUCUUUGUUGUGAGAAGUUGGUCAAACUUGGUCAUUUAGAGGAAGUAAAAGUCGUAACAAGGUUCCGUAGGUGAACCUGCGGAAGGAUCAUUA
rnacentral:rRNA from 1 species